rnacentral:rRNA from 1 species
GAUGAACGCUGGCGGCGUGCCUAAUACAUGCAAGUCGAGCGAACGGACGAGAAGCUUGCUUCUCUGAUGUUAGCGGCGGACGGGUGAGUAACACGUGGAUAACCUACCUAUAAGACUGGGAUAACUUCGGGAAACCGGAGCUAAUACCGGAUAAUAUUUUGAACCGCAUUGUUCAAAAGUGAAAGACGGUCUUGCUGUCACUUAUAGAUGGAUCCGCGCUGCAUUAGCUAGUUGGUAAGGUAACGGCUUACCAAGGCAACGAUGCAUAGCAGACCUGAGAGGGUGAUGGGCCACACUGGAACUGAGACACGGUCCAGACUCCUACGGGAGGCAGCAGGAGGGAAUCUUCAGCAAUGGGCAAAAGCCUGACGGAGCAACGCCGCGUGAGUGAUGAAGGUCUUCGGAUCGUAAACCUCUGUUAUUAGGGAAGAACAUAUGUGUAAGUAACUGUGCACAUCUUGACGGUACCUAAGCAGAAAGCCACGGCUAAAUACGUG